CCUACGGGGGGCAGCAGUGAGGAAUAUUGGUCAAUGGACGAGAGUCUGAACCAGCCACGUAGCGUGAAGGAUGACUGCCCUAUGGGUUGUAAACUUCUUUUAUAUGGGAAUAAAACGUUCCACGUGUGGGAUUUUGUAUGUACCCUAUGAAUAAGGAUCGGCUACCUCCGUGCCAGCAGCCGCGGUAAUACGGAGGCUCCGAGCGUUAUCCGGAUUUAUUGGGUUUAAAGGGAGCGUAGGUGGAGUGUUAAGUCAGUUGUGAAAGUUUGCGGCUCAACCGUGAAAGUGCAGUUGACACUGGCAGUCUUGAGUACAGGAGAGGUAAGCGGAAGUCGUGGUGUAGCGGUGAAAUGCGUAGAUAUGACGAAGAACUCCGAUUGCGAAGGCAGUUCACGGGACUGCAACUGACACUGAGGCUCGAAAGUGUGGGUAUCAAACAGGAGUAGAUACCCGAGUAGUC
rnacentral:rRNA from 1 species